AGCGAACGCUGGCGGCAGGCCUAACACAUGCAAGUCGAACGAACCCUUCGGGGUUAGUGGCGGACGGGUGAGUAACACGUGGGAACGUGCCUUUAGGUUCGGAAUAACUCAGGGAAACUUGUGCUAAUACCGAAUGUGCUCUUCGGGGGAAAGAUUUAUCGCCUUUAGAGCGGCCCGCGUCUGAUUAGCUAGUUGGUUGAGGUAAUGGCUCACCAAGGCGACGAUCAGUAGCUGGUCUGAGAGGAUGAUCAGCCACAUUGGGACUGAGACACGGCCCAAACUCCUACGGGAGGCAGCAGUGGGGAAUCUUGCGCAAUGGGCGAAAGCCUGACGCAGCCAUGCCGCGUGAAUGAUGAAGGUCUUAGGAUUGUAAAAUUCUUUCACCGGGGACGAUAAUGACGGUACCCGGAGAAGAAGCCCCGGCUAACUUCGUG
rnacentral:rRNA from 1 species